CCUACGGGUGGCAGCAGUGGGGAAUAUUGGUCAAUGGGCGCAAGCCUGACCCAGCAACGCCGCGUGAGGGAAGAAGGCUUUCGGGUUGUAAACUUCUUUUGUCAGGGACGAAGCAAGUGACGGUACCUGACGAAUAAGCCACGGCUAACUACGUGCCAGCAGCAGCGGUAAUACGUAGGUGGCAAUCAUUAUCCGGAUUUACUGGGUGUAAAGGGUGUGUAGGCGGGACUGCAAGUCAGAUGUGAAAACCACGGGCUCAACCUGGGGCCUGCAUUUGAAACUGUAGUUCUUGAGUACUGGAGAGGCAGACGGAAUGCCUAGUGUAGCGGUGAAAUGCGUAGAUAUUAGGAGGAACACCAGUGGCGAAGGCGGUCUGCUGGACAGCAACUGACGCUGAGGCGCGAAAGCGUGGGGAGCAAACAGGAUUAGAUACCCCAGUAGUC
rnacentral:rRNA from 1 species